GAUGAACGCUGGCGGCGUGCCUAAUACAUGCAAGUCGAGCGAACAGACGAGGAGCUUGCUCCUCUGACGUUAGCGGCGGACGGGUGAGUAACACGUGGAUAACCUACCUAUAAGACUGGGAUAACUUCGGGAAACCGGAGCUAAUACCGGAUAACAUGUUGAACCGCAUGGUUCAACAGUGAAAGACGGUCUUGCUGUCACUUAUAGCUGGAUCCGCGCCGCAUUAGCUAGUUGGUAAGGUAACGGCUUACCAAGGCAACGAGGCGUAGCCGACCUGAGAGGGGGAUCGGCCACACUGGAACUGAGACACGGUCCAGACGACUAAGGGAGGCAGCAGUAGGGAAUCGGACGCAAUGGGCGAAAGCCUGACGGAGCAACGCCGCGUGAGAGAAGAAGGUCUUCGGAUCGUAAAACUCUGUUAUUAGGGAAGAACAAAUGUGUAAGGAACUAUGCACGGCGUGACGGUACCUAAUCAGAAAGCAACGGCUAACUACGUG
rnacentral:rRNA from 1 species